CCUACGGGAGGCAGCAGUGGGGAAUAUUGGGCAAUGGGCGCAAGCCUGACCCAGCAACGCCGCGUGAAGGAAGAAGGCUUUCGGGUUGUAAACUUCUUUUCUGAGGGACGAAGAAAGUGACGGUACCUCAGGAAUAAGCCACGGCUAACUACGUGCCAGCAGCCGCGGUAAUACGUAGGUGGCGAGCGUUAUCCGGAUUUAUUGGGUGUAAAGGGCUUGUAGGCGGGAAAGCAAGUCAGAUGGGAAAACUCAGGGCUCAACCCUGAGCCUGCAUUUGAAACUGUUUUUCUUGAGUGCUGGGGAGGCAAUCGGAAUUCGGUGUGUAGCGGGGAAAUGCGUAGAUAUACGGAGGAACACCAGUGGCGAAGGCGGAUUGCUGGACAGUCACUGACGCUGAGGCGCGAAAGCGUGGGGAGCAAACAGGAUUAGAUACCCUAGUAGUC
rnacentral:rRNA from 1 species